rnacentral:sRNA from 1 species
GGGGUCCAGAGACGGAAGAGAUAAAUACCCAACACACAAAACAUUGAAACUAGCACAGGUAACUUAGAGACUAACACAGGUAACUUAGAGACUAGCACAGGUAACUUAGAGACUAACACAGGUAACCUAAGACUAACACAGGUAACUUACAGACUAACACAGGUAACCUAGAGACUAACACAGGUAACUUACAGACUAACACAGGUAACUUAGAGACUAACACAGGUAACUUAGAGACCUACAUAUGUAACUUAAAGACUAACAAAGGUAACUUAGAGACUAAUUCAAGUAACUAACAUAGGUAACUUAGAGACUAACACAGGUAACUAACAUAGGCAAUUUAGAGACUAACACAGGUGGUAACUUAGAGACUAUCACAGGUAACUAACAUAGGUAGCUUAGAUACUAACACCGGAGGUAACUUAGAGACUAACACAGGUAACUUAGAGACUAAUUCAAGAAACUAACACAGGUGGUAACUUACAGACUAACACAGGUAACUAACAUAGGUAACUUAGAGACUAACACAGGUGGUAACUUAGAGACUAACACAGGUAACAUAGAGACUAAUUCAAGUAACUAACAUAGGUAACUUAGAGACUAUCACAGGUAACUAACAUAAGUAAUUUAGAGACUAACACAGGUGGUAACUUAGAGACUAACACAGGUAACUAACAUAGGUAACUUACAGACUAACACAGAUAACUAACAUAGGUAACUUAGAGACGAACACAGGUAACUAACAUAGGUAACUUAGAGACUAUCACAGGUAACUAACAUAGGUAGCUUAGAUACUAACACCGGUGGUAACUUAGAGACUAACACAGGUAACUUAGAGACUAAUUCAAGAAACUAACAUAGGUAACUUACAGACUAACACAGGUAACUAACAUAAGUAAUUUAGAGACUAGCACAGGUGGUAACUUAGAGACUAACACAGGCAACUAACAUAGGUAACUUAGAGACUUGACUAACACAGGUGGUAACUUAGAGACUAUCACAGGUAACUAACAUAAGUAAUUUAGAGACUAACACAGGUGGUAACUUAGAGACUAACACAGGUAUCUAACAUAGGUAGCUUAGAUACGAACACA